rnacentral:misc_RNA from 1 species
CUCCUACAUUCAAGAACCGACUUUAGAUUCCAGCACAUAAACUUUAGUUCGGCAGUCUAUAUUUCACUAGUCAUAUAAAAACAUGGGAACAACAAAAUUCUACUAAACUAUGGCAAUUUAUCAGCAAACUAAUUCAGACGUCUCUGGUCAAACCAGAAAGAUCAAAAUCACCAGAAUCAGGCUCCCUUUGUUUAGGAGAGGCUUCUCUUUUUUGAGGAUAGUCUUCAAUGGGUAUCCCUCGCCUCACAGAUGGUGAGGAUGAUGGNNNNNNNGAGUCCCCAAAAACAUCGAAAAAACUACUCCUCAUCUGUUCGGCUGCUUCAAAAAAUCGGUUGAUGCCAUCGAGGAAGUGAUGCUCGAUACCUUCAAUAUCACUUCGAAGACCUGGAAAGCCAAAUGGUGAGUUAUCAAAUUGCCCAACUGAGGAAGACCCUUUAACCACCACGUCUGUGACAUCGUCUUCAGUAUACUCCUUGUUGGACUUCAGGACCUUGACAGGCUCUCCAAGGCACUCUCUGAGAAUC